GGGAAUCGCCUCAUGACUUACUUGCUACCUAAGUCACGAAGAGAAAUGCCUACCUACUCCAAUCCAAAUUAUUAUGAGAGACAAAAGAUUGAGAGGAGUAAGGGAGUGCAAGGUGGUAAUCCGAGAGUGGAAAAAGGAGAGGUUGUGUGGAGCAAAGUGAGUAUUACCACCAAACCAUGCUAACAUUGGUUGCCUUCUAUUUCUAAGGAUAUUUGUGUAGGUACCAACAUGGCAAGCGAAGAAGAACAAUGCCAAAAGAAAGUUGCUGCCCAAACUUUUGGAGGACCUUCACACCAUGACAAAGAAGAAUCUACUCAAGGACUUCAAGGUAAAAU
rnacentral:lncRNA from 1 species